rnacentral:sRNA from 1 species
AGAAAAAAGAGAAGAGCUCGGCUCCAAGGCACCUCUUCCCACUCUGCAGACACCCCCGAAGCCUCCUUGGAUUCUGGUGAGGUGUGGAUGGGGUACAGCCUUCAGAGAGACAUUGUCCUUCCCCUGCAUUGGCCACCAGGGAGUCCAGGUUGAUUGAUGGGGGAGCAUGAGAAGGAAUGCAAGAACCAAACCCUCUGGGGCAAGGGAUUCCUUAGAGAAACUUCUUUGUCUCCCAGGGCCCUAGUGGAAUGGCAUCCCAGGGGUGCCCUUCUGCCUCCAGAGCUGAGACAGAUGACGAAGAAGAUGAGGAGAGUGAUGAGGAAGAGGAGGAGGAGGAGGAGGAAGAAGAAGAAGAAGAGGAGGAGGCCACAGAUUCUGAAGAGGAGGAGGAUCUGGAACAGAUGCAGGAGGGUCAGGAGGACGAUGAAGAGGAGGACGAAGAGGAAGAAGCAGCAGCAGGUAAAGAUGGAGGCAAGAGCCCCAUGUCCUCACCACAGAUCUCCAAUGAAAAGAACCUGGAACCUGGCAAACAGAUCAGCAGGUCUUCAGGGGAGCAGCAAAACAAAGGACGCAUAGUGUCACCAUCGUUACUGUCAGAAGAACCCCUGGCCCCCUCCAGCAUAGAUGCUGAAAGCAAUGGAGAACAGCCU